UACGUAGGGCGCAAGCGUUGUCCGGAAUUAUUGGGCGUAAAGAGCUCGUAGGCGGUCUGUCGCGUCCGUUGUGAAAACUCGGAGGCUCAACCUCGGGCUUGCAGUGGAUACGGGCAGACUAGAGUGCGGUAGGGGAGACUGGAAUUCCUGGUGUAGCGGUGGAAUGCGCAGAUAUCAGGAGGAACACCGAUGGCGAAGGCAGGUCUCUGGGCCGCAACUGACGCUGGAGGAGCGAAAGCAUGGGGAGCGA
rnacentral:rRNA from 1 species